GGAGGAUCAUAGACUACUGGAGAACGGUAGAGAGGAGGAUCACAGACUACUGGAGAACAGUAGAGAGGAGGAUCACAGACUACUGGAGAACAGUAGAGAGGAGGAUCAUAGACUACUGGAGAACGGUAGAGAGGAGGAUCAUAGACUACUGGAGAACGGUAGAGAGGAGGAUCAUAGACUACUGGAGAACGGUAGAGAGGAGAACCACAGACUACUGGAGAAUGGUAGAGAGGAGAACCAUAAACUACUGGAGAACGGUAGAGAGGAGGAUCAUAGACUACUGGAGAAUGGUAGAGAGGAGGAUCAUAGACUACUGGAGAACGGUAGAGAGGAGAACCACAGACUACUGGAGAAUGGUAGAGAGGAGAACCAUAAACUACUGGAGAACGGUAGAGAGGAGGAUCAUAGACUACUGGAGAACGGUAGAGAGGAGAACCACAGACUACUGGAGAAUGGUAGAGAGGAGAACCAUAAACUACUGGAGAAUGGUAGAGAGGAGGAUCAUAGACUACUGGAGAAUGGUAGAGAGGAGGAUCAUAGACUACUGGAGAAUGGUAGAGAGGAGGAUCACAGACUACUGGAGAAUGGUAGAGAGGAGGAUCACAGACUACUGGAGAACGGUAGAGAGGAGAACCACAGACUACUGGAGAAUGGUAGAGAGGAGAACCAUAAACUACUGGAGAACGGUAGAGAGGGGGAUCAUAGACUACUGGAGAAUGGUAGAGAGGAGGAUCAUAGACUACUGGAGAAUGGUAGAGAGGAGGAUCAUAGACUACUGGAGAAUGGUAGAGAGGAGGAUCAUAGACCACUGGAGAACGGUAGAGAGGAGGAUCACAGACCACUGGAGAACGGUAGAGAGGAGAACCAUAAACUACUUGAGAAUGGUAGAGAG
ensembl:lncRNA